UACGGGGGGGAGCAAGCGUUGUCCGGAUUUACUGGGCGUAAAGGGCUCGUAGGCGGCCAACUAAGUCAGACGUGAAAUCCCUCAGCUUAACUGGGGAACUGCGUCUGAUACUGGAUGGCUUGAGUUUGGGAGAGGGACGCGGAAUUCCAGGUGUAGCGGUGAAAUUCGUAGAUAUCGGGAGGAACACCAGUGGCGAAGGCGGCGAUCUGGGAAGAUACUGACGCUGAGGUGCGAAAGCGUGGGGAGCAAACAGG
rnacentral:rRNA from 1 species